rnacentral:rRNA from 1 species
CCUACGGGGGGCAGCAGUGAGGAAUAUUGGUCAAUGGGCGGAAGCCUGUACCAGCCAAGUAGCGUGCAGGAUGACGGCCCUACGGGUUGUAAACUGCUUUUAUACGGGAAUAACGCGCCUUACGUGUAGGGCUUUGCAUGUACCGUAUGAAUAAGGACCGGCUAAUUCCGUGCCAGCAGCCGCGGUAAUACGGAAGGUCCGGGCGUUAUCCGGAUUUAUUGGGUUUAAAGGGAGCGUAGGCCGCAUGUCAAGCGUGCUGUGAAAUGUCCGGGCUCAACCCGGGCCUUGCAGCGCGAACUGGCGUGCUUGAGUCCGCGGAAAGCAGGCGGAAUUCGUCGUGUAGCGGUGAAAUGCUUAGAUAUGACGAAGAACCCCGAUUGCGAAGGCAGCUUGCUGCAGCGGAACUGACGCUGAUGCUCGAAAGCGCGGGUAUCGAACAGGAUUAGAUACCCCUGUAGUC